rnacentral:rRNA from 1 species
UACGUAGGAGGCAAGCGUUGUCCGGAUUUACUGGGCGUAAAGCGCGCGCAGGCGGCAUGGGCAAGUAAGGGUGUCGAAAUCUCCCUGCCUAACGGGGGAGGGUGCAUUUUAGACUGCCAAGCUAGAGGACGGUAGAGGGGGGUAGAAUUGCUGGUGUAGCGGUGAAAUGCGUAGAGAUCAGCAGGAAUACCCGUGGCGAAGGCGGCCCCCUGGGCCGAACCUGAC